GUUGGUGGUUUGGCGGGAGGGUUAUACCCGUUCCCAUUCCGAACACGGCAGUCAAGCCUCUUAGCGGCGAUGGUACUUACCUUCACCGGUGGGGAGAGUAGCUAGCCGCCAACA
rfam:Candidatus Kaiserbacteria bacterium RIFCSPHIGHO2_02_FTLL_56_30 rifcsphigho2_02_scaffold_7167, whole genome shotgun sequence.